UACGUAGGGUGCGAGCGUUAAUCGGAAUUACUGGGCGUAAAGCGUGCGCAGGCGGUUUUGUAAGCCAGAUGUGAAAUCCCCGGGCUUAACCUGGGAAUUGCGAUGGAGACUGCAAGGCUUGAAUCUGGCAGAGGGGGGUAGAAUUCCACGUGUAGCAGUGAAAUGCGUAGAGAUGUGGAGGAACACCGAUGGCGAAGGCAGCCCCCUGGGUCAAGAUUGACGCUCAUGCACGAAAGCGUGGGGAGCAAACAGG
rnacentral:rRNA from 1 species